UGAGGGCACCCAGCUUCUGAACAAAUGAAAGGCGUUUCUGAAGAACCGUGGCUAGCAGUUUUCAAAUCCAAGCAUCUGCUCUUUCGUGCCCAGGACUGUGCUGGGCAGACAUAAUAGAAAGCACAGAAGCAGCAGAGAAAGCCUGUUAUCCGUCGUAGCGCCACCUGCAGUUUGCCGGGGAGACGCGCCAGCAGCUGGCAGUCGCAGGCCGUGCGGGUGUGUGAGCGCGGCUCACGGUGUGCUGCGCAGAUAACGAGUGCCGGGGGCUUCGUGCUGCACAGAGGAGAGUGGACCUCACACAAAGGAAACCGCGGCUGCUGCAGCAGCCUCUUCACCCACGAGCCCUGGGAGUUAGAAAGUGCCGUCCUGUGCUUACCAUCUCCACAGCCCUGAAAUACAGCAUGGCUCCCAGCCCUGAGUUAAACAUUGGCCGGUGACACUGUUCUGCGUUGACUAUUGAUUCACAGGGGAGCAGGGGGUCAGUCUGAUGGCUGCACAAGCACUCCCCAAACGCAGAGAACUGUGUUCAGUGCAGUCGCUCAGUCGUGUCCGACUCUCUGCGACCCCAUGAAGCGCAGCACGCCAGGCCUCCCUGUCGGUGUGGGGUCACCAAAGCUCACAGCUCCAUCAGUUCUGCCUGGACACAAGCAACGCAGAGUGGUCUGGCAUCUGUGCUUCCCAAACAGUCACCCUUAUGCCAUCUGGUCCUCUGCCCUAUUGAAACCAGAUCUCAGG